rnacentral:rRNA from 1 species
AUUGAACGCUGGAGGCGUGCUUAACACAUGCAAGUCGUGCGAGAAAGGGACUUCGGUCCUGAGUAGAGCGGCGCACGGGUGAGUAACGCGUGGGUGAUCUCCCUUGGUGAUCGGGAUAACAGCGGGAAACUGCUGCUAAUACCGGAUAAUCUUCAUGUUUAACUUCAUGGGGUAAAGGUGGCCUCUGCUUGCAAGCUACCACAUCAAGAUGAGCCCGCGUCUCAUUAGCUAGUUGGUAGGGUAAUGGCCUACCAAGGCUACGAUGAGUAGCUGGUCUGAGAGGAUGACCAGCCACACUGGGACUGGAACACGGCCCAGACUCCUACGGGAGGCAGCAGUGGGGAAUAUUGCGCAAUGGGCGAAAGCCUGACGCAGCGACGCCUCGUGAGGGAUGAAGGUCUUCGGAUCGUAAACCUCUGUCAAGAGGGAAGAAACCCUUAGGUUCGAAUAGGGCCUUUGGCUGACGGUACCUCAAAAGGAAGCACCGGCUAACUCCGUGCCAGCCGCCGCGGUAA